UACGUAGGCAGCGAGCGUUGUUCGGAAUUACUGGGCGUAAAGCGCGCGCAGGCGGCUAUCCAAGUCAGUGGUGAAAGCCCGGAGCUCAACUCCGGAACUGCCAUUGAAACUGUUUAGCUUGAGGAUGAGAGAGGUGAGUGGAAUUCCCAGUGUAGAGGUGAAAUUCGUAGAUAUUGGGAAGAACACCGGUGGCGAAGGCGGCUCACUGGCUCAUUACUGACGCUCAGGCGCGAUAGCGUGGGGAUCAAACAGG
rnacentral:rRNA from 1 species